UACGUAGGGUGCGAGCGUUGUCCGGAAUUAUUGGGCGUAAAGAGCUCGUAGGCGGUUUGUCACGUCUGCUGUGAAAGACCGGGGCUCAACUCCGGUUCUGCAGUGGGUACGGGCAGACUAGAGUGCAGUAGGGGAGACUGGAAUUCCUGGUGUAGCGGUGAAAUGCGCAGAUAUCAGGAGGAACACCGAUGGCGAAGGCAGGUCUCUGGGCUGUAACUGACGCUGGAGGAGCGAAAGCCAUGG
rnacentral:rRNA from 1 species